GCCGGGUGCGGUGGCAUGUGCCUGUAAUCCAAGUCACUGGGAGGCUGAGGUUGGUGGAUCAAGUGAGCUGAGGAGCUCUGGGCUGCAGCACACUAUGUUGAACGGGUGUCCACGCUAAGUUCGGUAUCGAUAUGGUGUUCCAGGGGAGCCCGGGACCACCAGGUUGUCUAAGGAGGGGUGAACCGGCCCAGGUCGGAAACGAAGCAGGUCAAAUCCCCCGUGCUGUCCAGUAGUUGGAUAAUACCUGUGAGUAGAUGCUGCAGUGCAGCCUUGGCAAAACAUCGAGACCUAAUCUUUU
rnacentral:SRP_RNA from 1 species